UGACGAGGCACUACGGUGCUGAAGCAACAAAUGCCCUGCUUCCAGGAAAAGCCUCUAAGCAUCAGGUAACAUCAAAUCGUACCCCAAACCGACACAGGUGGUCAGGUAGAGAAUACCAAGGCGCUUGAGAGAACUCGGGUGAAGGAACUAGGCAAAAUGGUGCCGUAACUUCGGGAGAAGGCACGCUGACACGUAGGUGAAGUGAUUUACUCAUGGAGCUGAAGUCAGUCGAAGAUACCAGCUGGCUGCAACUGUUUAUUAAAAACACAGCACUGUGCAAACACGAAAGUGGACGUAUACGGUGUGACGCCUGCCCGGUGCCGGAAGGUUAAUUGAUGGGGUCAGCGCAAGCGAAGCUCCUGAUCGAAGCCCCGGUAAACGGCGGCCGUAACUAUAACGGUCCUAAGGUAGCGAAAUUCCUUGUCGGGUAAGUUCCGACCUGCACGAAUGGCGUAAUGAUGGCCAGGCUGUCUCCACCCGAGACUCAGUGAAAUUGAACUCGCUGUGAAGAUGCAGUGUACCCGCGGCAAGACGGAAAGACCCCGUGAACCUUUACUAUAGCUUGACACUGAACAUUGAGCCUUGAUGUGUAGGAUAGGUGGGAGGCUUUGAAGUGUGGACGCCAGUCUGCAUGGAGCCGACCUUGAAAUACCACCCUUUAAUGUUUGAUGUUCUAACGUGGACCCGUGAUCCGGGUUGCGGACAGUGUCUGGUGGGUAGUUUGACUGGGGCGGUCUCCUCCUAAAGAGUAACGGAGGAGCACGAAGGUUGGCUAAUCCUGGUCGGACAUCAGGAGGUUAGUGCAAUGGCAUAAGCCAGCUUGACUGCGAGCGUGACGGCGCGAGCAGGUGCGAAAGCAGGUCAUAGUGAUCCGGUGGUUCUGAAUGGAAGGGCCAUCGCUCAACGGAUAAAAGGUACUCCGGGGAUAACAGGCUGAUACCGCCCAAGAGUUCAUAUCGACGGCGGUGUUUGGCACCUCGAUGUCGGCUCAUCACAUCCUGGGGCUGAAGUAGGUCCCAAGGGUAUGGCUGUUCGCCAUUUAAAGUGGUACGCGAGCUGGGUUUAGAACGUCGUGAGACAGUUCGGUCCCUAUCUGCCGUGGGCGCUGGAGAACUGAGGGGGGCUGCUCCUAGUACGAGAGGACCGGAGUGGACGCAUCACUGGUGUUCGGGUUGUCAUGCCAAUGGCACUGCCCGGUAGCUAAAUGCGGAAGAGAUAAGUGCUGAAAGCAUCUAAGCACGAAACUUGCCCCGAGAUGAGUUCUCCCUGAGACUUAGAGUCUCCUGAAGGAACGUUGAAGACGACGACGUUGAUAGGCCGGGUGUGUAAGCGCAGCGAUGCGUUGAGCUAACCGGUACUAAUGAACCGUGAGGCUUAACCUUACAACGCCGAAG
rnacentral:rRNA from 1 species